rnacentral:misc_RNA from 1 species
GAUGAAGAACGUAGCGAAAUGCGAUAAGUAAUGUGAAUUGCAGAAUUCAGUGAAUCAUCGAGUCUUUGAACGCACAUUGCGCCCCCUGGUAUUCCGGGGAGCAUGCCUGUCCGAGCGUCAUUGCUGCCCUCAAGCACGGCUUGUGUGUUGGGCCCCCGUCCCCGGUUUCCCCCGGGGACGGGCCCGAAAGGCAGCGGCGGCACCGCGUCCGGUCCUCGAGCGUAUGGGGCUUUGUCACCCGCUCUGUAGGCCCGGCCGGCGCCAGCCGACACCCAACUUUAUUUCUAAGGUUGACCUCGGAUCAGGUAGGGAUACCCGCUGAACUUAAGCAUAUCAAUAAGCGGAGGA